GGGGAUUUAGCUCAGCGGUAGAGCACUUGCCUAGCAGGCACAAGGCCCUGGGUUCGAUCCCCAGCUCCG
rnacentral:tRNA from 1 species